GGAAUAUUGGUCAAUGGGCGAGAGCCUGAACCAGCCAUGCCGCGUGUAGGAUGACGGCCUUCUGGGUUGUAAACUACUUUUCUACAGGAAGAAAAAGCUUAUGCGUAAGCAAUUGACGGUACUGUAGGGAUAAGCACCGGCUAACUCCGUGCCCGCAGCCGCGGUAAUACGGAGGGUGCAAGCGUUGUCCGGAUUUAUUGGGUUUAAAGGGUGCGUAGGCGGCCCUUUAAGUCAGUGGUGAAAGCCCGCAGCUCAACUGCGGAACUGCCAUUGAUACUGGAGGGCUUGAGUACGGUUGAAGUAGGCGGAAUUUAUGGUGUAGCGGUGAAAUGCAUAGAUACCAUAAAGAACACCGAUAGCGUAGGCAGCUUACUAAGCCGUAACUGACGCUGAGGCACGAAAGCAUGGGGAGCGAACAGG
rnacentral:rRNA from 1 species